AAUAUUGGACAAUGGGGGCAACCCUGAGCCAGCCAUGCCGCGUGAGUGAUGAAGGCCUUCGGGUUGUAAAGCUCUUUUGGCGGGGACGAUGAUGACGGUACCCGCAGAAUAAGCCCCGGCUAACUUCGUGCCAGCAGCCGCGGUAAGACGAAGGGGGCAAGCGUUGUUCGGAAUUACUGGGCGUAAAGGGCGCGUAGGCGGUUUGCUUAGUCAGGCGUGAAAGCCCUGGGCUUAACCUGGGAUGUGCGCUUGAUACUGGCAGGCUUGAGUGUGGGAGAGGUUGGUGGAAUUCCCAGUGUAGAGGUGAAAUUCGUAGAUAUUGGGAAGAACACCGGUGGCGAAGGCGGCCAACUGAACCACAACUGACGCUGAGGCGCGAAAGCGUGGGGAGCAAACA
rnacentral:rRNA from 1 species